AUAAAUGAUUUUUGGAUUCGGAGCGAGUGGCGAACUGGUGAGUAACACGUGGGUAACCUGCCCCGAAGCGGGGGAUAACAUUUGGAAACAAGUGCUAAUACCGCAUAAUUAGUUGGAACCGCAUGGUUCCAACUUGAAAGAUGGCUCUGCUAUCACUUUGGGAUGGACCCGCGCCGUAUUAGUUAGUUGGUGAGAUAAAAGCCCACCAAGACGAUGAUACGUAGCCGACCUGAGAGGGUAAUCGGCCACAUUGGGACUGAGACACGGCCCAGACUCCUACGGGAGGCAGCAGUAGGGAAUCUUCCACAAUGGACGAAAGUCUGAUGGAGCAACGCCGCGUGAGUGAUGAAGGUUUUCGGAUCGUAAAACUCUGUUGUUAAAGAAGAACAAGUGUUAGAGUAACUGUUAACACUUUGACGGUAUUUAACCAGAAAGCCACGGCUAACUACGUGCCAGCAGCCGCGGUAAUACGUAGGUGGCAAGCGUUGUCCGGAUUUAUUGGGCGUAAAGCGAGCGCAGGCGG
rnacentral:rRNA from 1 species